UUCUUUUAUUGGUAGAUGGAUUCAACGAGUGAAGCUUCUAGCACAAAUAAAAGGAGGUCGACGAGAUCCGAUGCGUGGGAUCACUUUAAAGAGAUAGAUGAUGGCCAAGAUGUAAGCAAUAUCCUUAUGGGAACGUGGAGAAAAGGCAAAAAGAUGCAUCGGGUCAACUUGUUGGGUUAGGUAGUUCAUCUGGUCCAUGGAAAUUCGACCAAGACAUAAGUCAAAAAGACCUAGCCGCCAUGUUCAUUGUUGCUGAAUUGCCUCUCAAGUUUGUAGAAAAUGAGGCAUUUC